UUUAUUUCUGCCCUUCCCUGUUCUUCCCUCUCUCUCCACUCUGCUCUCCUGCCCUGCCUCUGUUGCUCCACUGUGCCACUCUCUGCAGCAGCUGCAACAAAUCAGCCUCAUCAGGCUCAUCAGCAGAACUCCGGGUGGCAGUGGCUCAGCACACCUGUUCCCCAUCCUCUGCAAUAAAAGCCGGUUCCACAGUCCACACCCUGCCAGAUUGUAGGUUCAGCUUCAUGCUUUCCGCUGGUCGCGCUGCCCGGUUUUGCCCGACCGCUUACUGGACCCUCUGGCCCUCCAGCCUGCUUGGUUCUGCCCAGCCACUUCCCGGACCUUCGGACCCUCCGGCCUGCUUGGUUCUGCCCAGCUUCUCACGGGACCCUUAAACCCCCAUCCCUUCCCUGCCAAAUAAAUUCAGCGUCUGGAUCCCAGAAGAGAUGGAGCCUCAAGGGCCUCCAGGAAAUAAUCUGGAGCUGAAAGAAACAUGAGAGGAGCUGUUGAUGCUGAACGAAUCAGUGGAAGCUGGUCUGCAGCUCCAGAACAUCUGAUCGUCACUCUCCGGCUGUUGGACCGGUCCUCUGAUUCUGGUUCUGAGCAGUCAGAGCGUCCUCCAUCCACCCCCAGCUCCUCCUGUAGAGCUUCAUCCACUAAAGAUGUUUCCUCAGAAACACCAACAUCUUCUACAGCCGACAAGCAUCAGGUUGCAUCUAGAUCUACAGUAGGAUCUACAGGAAGAUCUGCAGGAAGAUCUACGGGAAGAUCUACAAGAAGAUCUACAGGAGGAUCUACAGGAAGAUCUACAGGAAGAUCUACAGGAAGAUCUACAGGAAGAUCUACGGGAAGAUCUACAAGAAGAUCUACAGGAGGAUCUACAGGAAGAUCUACAGGAAGAUCUACAGGAAGAUCUACAGGAGGAUCUACAGGAAGACCUAAAGAAGGAUCUACGGGAGCCAUUUCUGGAGAGGAAUAAAUCAGAUUCUGUUUUAUCUACUGCUGAAGCUUCAGACAAACGUUCAGUGAUGUUUGGGGAAAAACUGUUCAACAUGUUUUAUCUUAUUAUUAUUUGAUUUUUUAUUUUAUUAUUUUUGACCUGUCAGCUCUUUUUAACCAACCAAUGAGACACUCAUCUCCACGGUAACCAGGAAAAAGGAGCAGGAACUUCCAACAUUUAAAGAGAAAGUUGUAUUUGAACCCAAACUGUGAAGUUGUCUCAAACAGAAGCGGAUCUUUUAAUCUGAAACCAACAUGUGAAUAUAUUUAAUUAAAGGAGAUCUUUUCCUGAACAGAACCAAAAACUUCAAUCUGAGAUGUUCCUUUGAUCUUCAUCUGAUCAGAACUCUAGUUCUUCCUCCAAACACCCGACAUGUUCGUAGUCAUGGAUAAAUAUGAUGUUAUUUCUACACAGAAUUAGCUGUUGUCCAAGCUUCUUCUGGUUUUUCUGGCUUUGCUUGAAGAACGUUGGAAAAGUAGAACUUCUGGACAGACCGGACCAAUCAGCUAACCCAUGGAUGUGCUGUUAGAGGGUCAGCCUCAGCAGGAGUCCUGACCUGCAGCCACUUCUGCGUCCACUGUCUGAG
ensembl:lncRNA